rnacentral:rRNA from 1 species
GAUGAACGCUGGCGGCAUGCCUUACACAUGCAAGUCGAACGGUAACAGGUCUUCGGAUGCUGACGAGUGGCGAACGGGUGAGUAAUACAUCGGAACGUGCCUAGUAGUGGGGGAUAACUACUCGAAAGAGUGGCUGAUACCGCAUGAGAUCUACGGAUGAAAGCAGGGGAUCGCAAGACCUUGUGCUACUAGAGCGGCCGAUGGCAGAUUAGGUAGUUGGUGGGAUAAAAGCUUACCAAGCCGACGAUCUGUAGCUGGUCUGAGAGGACGAUCAGCCACACUGGGACUGAGACACGGCCCAGACUCCUACGGGAGGCAGCAGUGGGGAAUUUUGGACAAUGGGCGAAAGCCUGAUUCAGCAAUGCCGCGUGCAGGAUGAAGGCCUUCGGGUUGUAAACUGCUUUUGUACGGAACGAAACGCGCUGAGUUAAUACCUCGGCGUAAUGACGGUACCGUAAGAAUAAGCACCGGCUAACUACGUGCCAGCCGCCGCGGUAA